rnacentral:lncRNA from 1 species
CCGUUUUGACCCUCAAACGGGCUGCGGAAAGUUAUGGCACGUAAAAAAGAUCGAAAGCGGAUUCUCAAGGUGUUUUUGAUGCUUUCUUAACGCCGUUAACCUCGAUGCACUUUUUCGCUCGAAACAAAACGGCAAGAAAAUCAUGUGGGCCCCACGGCCUUACACUUGGAUUGGCCGGGGAAAGGAUAUAUAGAAACGAGAGUGAUGUACUGACGGGUGCGAUCAUACCAGCACUAAUGCACCGGAUCCCAUCAGAACUCCGCAGUGAAGCGUGCUUGGGCGAGAGUAGUACUAGGAUGGGUGACCUCCCGGGAAGUCCUCGUGUUGCACCCCUUUUUAUUUUAUAAUUUUUUUUUAGCCUAAAACGAGUCUAAACUUGAAAACCUCAUAACUUUUGAACCGUGAGGAACUACGUCGCCCAUAGCACCAUUGAGAAAGCCCCAGAAACCAUAAUGGGCGGUGAAUAGGGGGCGCAAUUUUUCGGGCUCAAAUUCAGCCGUUUUGACCCUCAAACGGGCUGCGGAAAGUUAUGGCACGUAAAAAAGAUCGAAAGCGGAUUCUCAAGGUGUUUUUGAUGCUUUCUUAACGCCGUUAACCUCGAUGCACUUUUUCGCUCGAAACAAAACGGCAAGAAAAUCAUGCGCGCCCCACGGCCUUACACUUGGAUUGGCCGCGAAAAGGAUAUAUAGAAACGAGAGUGAUGUACUGACGGGUGCGAUCAUACCAGCACUAAUGCACCGGAUCCCAUCAGAACUCCGCAGUUAAGCGUGCUUGGGCGAGAGUAGUAGUACUAGGAUGGGUGACCUCCCGGGAAGUCCUCGUGUUGCACCCCUUUUUAUUUUUUAAUUUUUUUUUAGCCUAAAACGAGUCUAAACUUGAAAACCUCAUAACUUUUGAACCGUGAGGAACUACGUCGCCCAUAGCACCAUUUCGGAAAGCCCCAGAAACCAUAAUGGGCGGUGAAUAGGGGGCGCAAUUUUUCGGGCUCAAAUUCAGCCGUUUUGACCCUCAAACGGGCUGCGGAAAGUUAUGGCACGUAAAAAAGAUCGAAAGCGGAUUCUCAAGGUGUUUUUGAUGCUUUCUUAACGCCGUUAACCUCGAUGCACUUUUUCGCUCGAAACAAAACGGCAAGAAAAUCAUGCGCGCCCACGGCCUUACACUUGGAUUGGCCGCGAAAAGGAUAUAUAGAAACGAGAGUGAUGUACUGACGGGUGCGAUCAUACCAGCACUAAUGCACCGGAUCCCAUCAGAACUCCGCAGCUAAGCGUGCUUGGGCGAGAGUAGUACUAGGAUGGGUGACCUCCCGGGAAGUCCUCGUGUUGCACCCCUUUUAUUUUUUAAUUUUUUUUUAGCCUAAAACGAGUCUAAACUUGAAAACCCCAUAACUUUUGAACCGUGAGGAACUACGUCGCCCAUAGCACCAUUUCGGAAAGCCCCAGAAACCAUAAUGGGCGGUGAAUAGGGGGCGCAAUUUUUCGGGCUCAAAUUCAGCCGUUUUGACCCUCAAACGGGCUGCGGAAAGUUAUGGCACGUAAAAAAGAUCGAAAGCGGAUUCUCAAGGUGUUUUUGAUGCUUUCUUAACGCCGUUAACCUCGAUGCACUUUUUCGCUCGAAACAAAACGGCAAGAAAAUCAUGCGCGCCCCACGGCCUUACACUUGGAUUGGCCGCGAAAAGGAUAUAUAGAAACGAGAGUGAUGUACUGACGGGUGCGAUCAUACCAGCACUAAUGCACCGGAUCCCAUCAGAACUCCGCAGUUAAGCGUGCUUGGGCGAGAGUAGUACUAGGAUGGGUGACCUCCCGGGAAGUCCUCGUGUUGCACCCCUUUUUAUUUUUUAAUUUUUUUUUAGCCUAAAACGAGUCUAAACUUGAAAACCUCAUAACUUUUGAACCGUGAGGAACUACGUCGCCCAUAGCACCAUUUCGGAGAGCCCCAGAAACCAUAAUGGGCGGUGAAUAGGGGGGGCGCAAUUUUUCGGGCUCAAAUUCAGCCGUUUUGACCCUCAAACGGGCUGCGGAAAGUUAUGGCACGUAAAAAAGAUCGAAAGCGGAUUCUCAAGGUGUUUUUGAUGCUUUCUUAACGCCGUUAACCUCGAUGCACUUUUUCGCUCGAAACAAAACGGCAAGAAAAUCAUGCGCGCCCCACGGCCUUACACUUGGAUUGGCCGCGAAAAGGAUAUAUAGAAACGAGAGUGAUGUACUGACGGGUGCGAUCAUACCAGCACUAAUGCACCGGAUCCCAUCAGAACUCCGCAGUUAAGCGUGCUUGGGCGAGAGUAGUACUAGGAUGGGUGACCUCCCGGGAAGUCCUCGUGUUGCACCCCUUUUUAUUUUUAAUUUUUUUUUAGCCUAAAACGAGUCUAAACUUGAAAACCUCAUAACUUUUGAACCGUGAGGAACUACGUCGCCCAUAGCACCAUUUCGGAGAGCCCCAGAAACCAUAAUGGGCGGUGAAUAGGGGGCGCAAUUUUUCGGGCUCAAAUUCAGCCGUUUUGACCCUCAAACGGGCUGCGGAAAGUUAUGGCACGUAAAAAAGAUCGAAAGCGGAUUCUCAAGGUGUUUUUGAUGCUUUCUUAACGCCGUUAACCUCGAUGCACUUUUUCGCUCGAAACAAAACGGCAAGAAAAUCAUGCGCGCCCCACGGCCUUACACUUGGAUUGGCCGCGAAAAGGAUAUAUAGAAACGAGAGUGAUGUACUGACGGGUGCGAUCAUACCAGCACUAAUGCACCGGAUCCCAUCAGAACUCCGCAGUUAAGCGUGCUUGGGCGAGAGUAGUACUAGGAUGGGUGACCUCCCGGGAAGUCCUCGUGUUGCACCCCUUUUUAUUUUUUAAUUUUUUUUAGCCUAAAACGAGUCUAAACUUGAAAACCUCAUAACUUUUGAACCGUGAGGAACUACGUCGCCCAUAGCACCAUUUCGGAGAGCCCCAGAAACCAUAAUGGGCGGUGAAUAGGGGGCGCAAUUUUUCGGGCUCAAAUUCAGCCGUUUUGACCCUCAAACGGGCUGCGGAAAGUUAUGGCACGUAAAAAAGAUCGAAAGCGGAUUCUCAAGGUGUUUUUGAUGCUUUCUUAACGCCGUUAACCUCGAUGCACUUUUUCGCUCGAAACAAAACGGCAAGAAAAUCAUGCGCGCCCCACGGCCUUACACUUGGAUUGGCCGCGAAAAGGAUAUAUAGAAACGAGAGUGAUGUACUGACGGGUGCGAUCAUACCAGCACUAAUGCACCGGAUCCCAUCAGAACUCCGCAGUUAAGCGUGCUUGGGCGAGAGUAGUACUAGGAUGGGUGACCUCCGGGAAGUCCUCGUGUUGCACCCCUUUUUAUUUUUUAAUUUUUUUUAGCCUAAAACGAGUCUAAACUUGAAAACCUCAUAACUUUUGAACCGUGAGGAACUACGUCGCCCAUAGCACCAUUUCGGAGAGCCCCAGAAACCAUAAUGGGCGGUGAAUAGGGGGCGCAAUUUUUCGGGCUCAAAUUCAGCCGUUUUGACCCUCAAACGGGCUGCGGAAAGUUAUGGCACGUAAAAAAGAUCGAAAGCGGAUUCUCAAGGUGUUUUUGAUGCUUUCUUAACGCCGUUAACCUCGAUGCACUUUUUCGCUCGAAACAAAACGGCAAGAAAAUCAUGCGCGCCCCACGGCCUUACACUUGGAUUGGCCGCGAAAAGGAUAUAUAGAAACGAGAGUGAUGUACUGACGGGUGCGAUCAUACCAGCACUAAUGCACCGGAUCCCAUCAGAACUCCGCAGUUAAGCGUGCUUGGGCGAGAGUAGUACUAGGAUGGGUGACCUCCCGGGAAGUCCUCGUGUUGCACCCCUUUUUAUUUUUUAAUUUUUUUUUGCCUAAAACGAGUCUAAACUUGAAAACCUCAUAACUUUUGAACCGUGAGGAACUACGUCGCCCAUAGCACCAUUUCGGAGAGCCCCAGAAACCAUAAUGGGCGGUGAAUAGGGGGCGCAAUUUUUCGGGCUCAAAUUCAGCCGUUUUGACCCUCAAACGGGCUGCGGAAAGUUAUGGCACGUAAAAAAGAUCGAAAGCGGAUUCUCAAGGUGUUUUUGAUGCUUUCUUAACGCCGUUAACCUCGAUGCACUUUUUCGCUCGAAACAAAACGGCAAGAAAAUCAUGCGCGCCCCACGGCCUUACACUUGGAUUGGCCGCGAAAAGGAUAUAUAGAAACGAGAGUGAUGUACUGACGGGUGCGAUCAUACCAGCACUAAUGCACCGGAUCCCAUCAGAACUCCGCAGUUAAGCGUGCUUGGGCGAGAGUAGUACUAGGAUGGGUGACCUCCCGGGAAGUCCUCGUGUUGCACCCCUUUUUAUUUUUUAAUUUUUUUUUAGCCUAAAACGAGUCUAAACUUGAAAACCUCAUAACUUUUGAACCGUGAGGAACUACGUCGCCCAUAGCACCAUUUCGGAAAGCCCCAGAAACCAUAAUGGGCGGUGAAUAGGGGGCGCAAUUUUUCGGGCUCAAAUUCAGCCCGUUUUGACCCUCAAACGGGCUGCGGAAAGUUAUGGCACGUAAAAAAGAUCGAAAGCGGAUUCUCAAGGUGUUUUUGAUGCUUUCUUAACGCCGUUAACCUCGAUGCACUUUUUCGCUCGAAACAAAACGGCAAGAAAAUCAUGCGCGCCCCACGGCCUUACACUUGGAUUGGCCGCGAAAAGGAUAUAUAGAAACGAGAGUGAUGUACUGACGGGUGCGAUCAUACCAGCACUAAUGCACCGGAUCCCAUCAGAACUCCGCAGUUAAGCGUGCUUGGGCGAGAGUAGUACUAGGAUGGGUGACCUCCCGGGAAGUCCUCGUGUUGCACCCCUUUUUAUUUUUUAAUUUUUUUUAGCCUAAAACGAGUCUAAACUUGAAAACCUCAUAACUUUUGAACCGUGAGGAACUACGUCGCCCAUAGCACCAUUUCGGAGCCCCAGAAACCAUAAUGGGCGGGUGAAUAGGGGGCGCAAUUUUUCGGGCUCAAAUUCAGCCGUUUUGACCCUCAAACGGGCUGCGGAAAGUUAUGGCACGUAAAAAAGAUCGAAAGCGGAUUCUCAAGGUGUUUUUGAUGCUUUCUUAACGCCGUUAACCUCGAUGCACUUUUUCGCUCGAAACAAAACGGCAAGAAAAUCAUGCGCGCCCCACGGCCUUACACUUGGAUUGGCCGCGAAAAGGAUAUAUAGAAACGAGAGUGAUGUACUGACGGGUGCGAUCAUACCAGCACUAAUGCACCGGAUCCCAUCAGAACUCCGCAGUUAAGCGUGCUUGGGCGAGAGUAGUACUAGGAUGGGUGACCUCCCGGGAAGUCCUCGUGUUGCACCCCUUUUUAUUUUUUAAUUUUUUUUUAGCCUAAAACGAGUCUAAACUUGAAAACCUCAUAACUUUUGAACCGUGAGGAACUACGUCGCCCAUAGCACCAUUUCGGAGAGCCCCAGAAACCAUAAUGGGCGGUGAAUAGGGGGCGCAAUUUUUCGGGCUCAAAUUCAGCCGUUUUGACCCUCAAACGGGCUGCGGAAAGUUAUGGCACGUAAAAAAGAUCGAAAGCGGAUUCUCAAGGUGUUUUUGAUGCUUUCUUAACGCCGUUAACCUCGAUGCACUUUUUCGCUCGAAACAAAACGGCAAGAAAAUCAUGCGCGCCCCACGGCCUUACACUUGGAUUGGCCGCGAAAAGGAUAUAUAGAAACGAGAGUGAUGUACUGACGGGUGCGAUCAUACCAGCACUAAUGCACCGGAUCCCAUCAGAACUCCGCAGUUAAGCGUGCUUGGGCGAGAGUAGUACUAGGAUGGGUGACCUCCCGGGAAGUCCUCGUGUUGCACCCCUUUUUAUUUUUUAAUUUUUUUUUAGCCUAAAACGAGUCUAAACUUGAAAACCUCAUAACUUUUGAACCGUGAGGAACUACGUCGCCCAUAGCACCAUUUCGGAGAGCCCCAGAAACCAUAAUGGGCGGUGAAUAGGGGGCGCAAUUUUUCGGGCUCAAAUUCAGCCGUUUUGACCCUCAAACGGGCUGCGGAAAGUUAUGGCACGUAAAAAAGAUCGAAAGCGGAUUCUCAAGGUGUUUUUGAUGCUUUCUUAACGCCGUUAACCUCGAUGCACUUUUUCGCUCGAAACAAAACGGCAAGAAAAUCAUGCGCGCCCCACGGCCUUACACUUGGAUUGGCCGCGAAAAGGAUAUAUAGAAACGAGAGUGAUGUACUGACGGGUGCGAUCAUACCAGCACUAAUGCACCGGAUCCCAUCAGAACUCCGCAGUUAAGCGUGCUUGGGCGAGAGUAGUACUAGGAUGGGUGACCUCCCGGGAAGUCCUCGUGUUGCACCCCUUUUUUAUUUUUUAAUUUUUUUUAGCCUAAAACGAGUCUAAACUUGAAAACCUCAUAACUUUUGAACCGUGAGGAACUACGUCGCCCAUAGCACCAUUUCGGAAAGCCCCAGAAACCAUAAUGGGCGGUGAAUAGGGGGCGCAAUUUUUCGGGCUCAAAUUCAGCCGUUUUGACCCUCAAACGGGCUGCGGAAAGUUAUGGCACGUAAAAAAGAUCGAAAGCGGAUUCUCAAGGUGUUUUUGAUGCUUUCUUAACGCCGUUAACCUCGAUGCACUUUUUCGCUCGAAACAAAACGGCAAGAAAAUCAUGCGCGCCCCACGGCCUUACACUUGGAUUGGCCGCGAAAAGGAUAUAUAGAAACGAGAGUGAUGUACUGACGGGUGCGAUCAUACCAGCACUAAUGCACCGGAUCCCAUCAGAACUCCGCAGUUAAGCGUGCUUGGGCGAGAGUAGUACUAGGAUGGGUGACCUCCCGGGAAGUCCUCGUGUUGCACCCCUUUUUUUUUUUAAUUUUUUUUUAGCCUAAAACGAGUCUAAACUUGAAAACCUCAUAACUUUUGAACCGUGAGGAACUACGUCGCCCAUAGCACCAUUUCGGAGAGCCCCAGAAACCAUAAUGGGCGGUGAAUAGGGGGCGCAAUUUUUCGGGCUCAAAUUCAGCCGUUUUGACCCUCAAACGGGCUGCGGAAAGUUAUGGCACGUAAAAAAGAUCGAAAGCGGAUUCUCAAGGUGUUUUGAUGCUUUCUUAACGCCGUUAACCUCGAUGCACUUUUUCGCUCGAAACAAAACGGCAAGAAAAUCAUGUGGGCCCCACGGCCUUACACUUGGAUUGGCCGCGAAAAGGAUAUAUAGAAACGAGAGUGAUGUACUGACGGGUGCGAUCAUACCAGCACUAAUGCACCGGAUCCCAUCAGAACUCCGCAGUUAAGCGUGCUUGGGCGAGAGUAGUACUAGGAUGGGUGACCUCCCGGGAAGUCCUCGUGUUGCACCCCUUUUUAUUUUUUAAUUUUUUUUUAGCCUAAAACGAGUCUAAACUUGAAAACCUCAUAACUUUUGAACCGUGAGGAACUACGUCGCCCAUAGCACCAUUUCGGAGAGCCCCAGAAACCAUAAUGGGGCGGUGAAUAGGGGGCGCAAUUUUUCGGGCUCAAAUUCAGCCGUUUUGACCCUCAAACGGGCUGCGGAAAGUUAUGGCACGUAAAAAAGAUCGAAAGCGGAUUCUCAAGGUGUUUUUGAUGCUUUCUUAACGCCGUUAACCUCGAUGCACUUUUUCGCUCGAAACAAAACGGCAAGAAAAUCAUGCGCGCCCCACGGCCUUACACUUGGAUUGGCCGCGAAAAGGAUAUAUAGAAACGAGAGUGAUGUACUGACGGGUGCGAUCAUACCAGCACUAAUGCACCGGAUCCCAUCAGAACUCCGCAGUUAAGCGUGCUUGGGCGAGAGUAGUACUAGGAUGGGUGACCUCCCGGGAAGUCCUCGUGUUGCACCCCUUUUUAUUUUUUAUUUUUUUUUUAGCCUAAAACGAGUCUAAACUUGAAAACCUCAUAACUUUUGAACCGUGAGGAACUACGUCGCCCAUAGCACCAUUUCGGAAGAGCCCCAGAAACCAUAAUGGGCGGUGAAUAGGGGGCGCAAUUUUUCGGGCUCAAAUUCAGCCGUUUUGACCCUCAAACGGGCUGCGGAAAGUUAUGGCACGUAAAAAAGAUCGAAAGCGGAUUCUCAAGGUGUUUUUGAUGCUUUCUUAACGCCGUUAACCUCGAUGCACUUUUUCGCUCGAAACAAAACGGCAAGAAAAUCAUGCGCGCCCCACGGCCUUACACUUGGAUUGGCCGCGAAAAGGAUAUAUAGAAACGAGAGUGAUGUACUGACGGGUGCGAUCAUACCAGCACUAAUGCACCGGAUCCCAUCAGAACUCCGCAGCUAAGCGUGCUUGGGCGAGAGUAGUACUAGGAUGGGUGACCUCCCGGGAAGUCCUCGUGUUGCACCCCUUUUUAUUUUUUAAUUUUUUUUUUUGCCUAAAACGAGUCUAAACUUGAAAACCUCAUAACUUUUGAACCGUGAGGAACUACGUCGCCCAUAGCACCAUUUCGGAGAGCCCCAGAAACCAUAAUGGGCGGUGAAUAGGGGGCGCAAUUUUUCGGGCUCAAAUUCAGCCGUUUUGACCCUCAAACGGGCUGCGGAAAGUUAUGGCACGUAAAAAAGAUCGAAAGCGGAUUCUCAAGGUGUUUUUGAUGCUUUCUUAACGCCGUUAACCUCGAUGCACUUUUUCGCUCGAAACAAAACGGCAAGAAAAUCAUGCGCGCCCCACGGCCUUACACUUGGAUUGGCCGCGAAAAGGAUAUAUAGAAACGAGAGUGAUGUACUGACGGGUGCGAUCAUACCAGCACUAAUGCACCGGAUCCCAUCAGAACUCCGCAGUUAAGCGUGCUUGGGCGAGAGUAGUACUAGGAUGGGUGACCUCCCGGGAAGUCCUCGUGUUGCACCCCUUUUUAUUUUUUAAUUUUUUUUUAGCCUAAAACGAGUCUAAACUUGAAAACCUCAUAACUUUUGAACCGUGAGGAACUACGUCGCCCAUAGCACCAUUUCGGAGAGCCCCAGAAACCAUAAUGGGCGGUGAAUAGGGGGCGCAAUUUUUCGGGCUCAAAUUCAGCCGUUUUGACCCUCAAACGGGCUGCGGAAAGUUAUGGCACGUAAAAAAGAUCGAAAGCGGAUUCUCAAGGUGUUUUUGAUGCUUUCUUAACGCCGUUAACCUCGAUGCACUUUUUCGCUCGAAACAAAACGGCAAGAAAAUCAUGCGCGCCCCACGGCCUUACACUUGGAUUGGCCGCGAAAAGGAUAUAUAGAAACGAGAGUGAUGUACUGACGGGUGCGAUCAUACCAGCACUAAUGCACCGGAUCCCAUCAGAACUCCGCAGUUAAGCGUGCUUGGGCGAGAGUAGUACUAGGAUGGGUGACCUCCCGGGAAGUCCUCGUGUUGCACCCCUUUUUAUUUUUUAAUUUUUUUUAGCCUAAAACGAGUCUAAACUUGAAAACCUCAUAACUUUUGAACCGUGAGGAACUACGUCGCCCAUAGCACCAUUUCGGAGAGCCCCAGAAACCAUAAUGGGCGGUGAAUAGGGGGCGCAAUUUUUCGGGCUCAAAUUCAGCCGUUUUGACCCUCAAACGGGCUGCGGAAAGUUAUGGCACGUAAAAAAGAUCGAAAGCGGAUUCUCAAGGUGUUUUUGAUGCUUUCUUAACGCCGUUAACCUCGAUGCACUUUUUCGCUCGAAACAAAACGGCAAGAAAAUCAUGCGCGCCCACGGCCUUACACUUGGAUUGGCCGCGAAAAGGAUAUAUAGAAACGAGAGUGAUGUACUGACGGGUGCGAUCAUACCAGCACUAAUGCACCGGAUCCCAUCAGAACUCCGCAGUAAGCGUGCUUGGGCGAGAGUAGUACUAGGAUGGGUGACCUCCCGGGAAGUCCUCGUGUUGCACCCCUUUUUAUUUUUUAAUUUUUUUUUAGCCUAAAACGAGUCUAAACUUGAAAACCUCAUAACUUUUGAACCGUGAGGAACUACGUCGCCCAUAGCACCAUUUCGGAGAGCCCCAGAAACCAUAAUGGGCGGUGAAUAGGGGGCGCAAUUUUUCGGGCUCAAAUUCAGCCGUUUUGACCCUCAAACGGGCUGCGGAAAGUUAUGGCACGUAAAAAAGAUCGAAAGCGGAUUCUCAAGGUGUUUUUGAUGCUUUCUUAACGCCGUUAACCUCGAUGCACUUUUUCGCUCGAAACAAAACGGCAAGAAAAUCAUGCGCGCCCCACGGCCUUACACUUGGAUUGGCCGCGAAAAGGAUAUAUAGAAACGAGAGUGAUGUACUGACGGGUGCGAUCAUACCAGCACUAAUGCACCGGAUCCCAUCAGAACUCCGCAGUUAAGCGUGCUUGGGCGAGAGUAGUACUAGGAUGGGUGACCUCCCGGGAAGUCCUCGUGUUGCACCCCUUUUUAUUUUUAAUUUUUUUUUAGCCUAAAACGAGUCUAAACUUGAAAACCUCAUAACUUUUGAACCGUGAGGAACUACGUCGCCCAUAGCACCAUUUCGGAAAGCCCCAGAAACCAUAAUGGGCGGUGAAUAGGGGGCGCAAUUUUUCGGGCUCAAAUUCAGCCGUUUUGACCCUCAAACGGGCUGCGGAAAGUUAUGGCACGUAAAAAAGAUCGAAAGCGGAUUCUCAAGGUGUUUUUGAUGCUUUCUUAACGCCGUUAACCUCGAUGCACUUUUUCGCUCGAAACAAAACGGCAAGAAAAUCAUGCGCGCCCCACGGCCUUACACUUGGAUUGGCCGCGAAAAGGAUAUAUAGAAACGAGAGUGAUGUACUGACGGGUGCGAUCAUACCAGCACUAAUGCACCGGAUCCCAUCAGAACUCCGCAGUUAAGCGUGCUUGGCGCGAGAGUAGUACUAGGAUGGGUGACCUCCCGGGAAGUCCUCGUGUUGCACCCCUUUUUAUUUUUUAAUUUUUUUUUGCCUAAAACGAGUCUAAACUUGAAAACCUCAUAACUUUUGAACCGUGAGGAACUACGUCGCCCAUAGCACCAUUUCGGAGAGCCCCAGAAACCAUAAUGGGCGGUGAAUAGGGGGCGCAAUUUUUCGGGCUCAAAUUCAGCCGUUUUGACCCUCAAACGGGCUGCGGAAAGUUAUGGCACGUAAAAAAGAUCGAAAGCGGAUUCUCAAGGUGUUUUUGAUGCUUUCUUAACGCCGUUAACCUCGAUGCACUUUUUCGCUCGAAACAAAACGGCAAGAAAAUCAUGCGCGCCCACGGCCUUACACUUGGAUUGGCCGCGAAAAGGAUAUAUAGAAACGAGAGUGAUGUACUGACGGGUGCGAUCAUACCAGCACUAAUGCACCGGAUCCCAUCAGAACUCCGCAGUUAAGCGUGCUUGGGCGAGAGUAGUACUAGGAUGGGUGACCUCCCGGGAAGUCCUCGUGUUGCACCCCUUUUAUUUUUUAAUUUUUUUUUGCCUAAAACGAGUCUAAACUUGAAAACCUCAUAACUUUUGAACCGUGAGGAACUACGUCGCCCAUAGCACCAUUUCGGAGAGCCCCAGAAACCAUAAUGGGCGGGUGAAUAGGGGGCGCAAUUUUUCGGGCUCAAAUUCAGCCGUUUUGACCCUCAAACGGGCUGCGGAAAGUUAUGGCACGUAAAAAAGAUCGAAAGCGGAUUCUCAAGGUGUUUUUGAUGCUUUCUUAACGCCGUUAACCUCGAUGCACUUUUUCGCUCGAAACAAAACGGCAAGAAAAUCAUGCGCGCCCCACGGCCUUACACUUGGAUUGGCCGCGAAAAGGAUAUAUAGAAACGAGAGUGAUGUACUGACGGGUGCGAUCAUACCAGCACUAAUGCACCGGAUCCCAUCAGAACUCCGCAGUUAAGCGUGCUUGGGCGAGAGUAGUACUAGGAUGGGUGACCUCCCGGGAAGUCCUCGUGUUGCACCCCUUUUUUUUUAAAUUUUUUUUUAGCCUAAAACGAGUCUAAACUUGAAAACCUCAUAACUUUUGAACCGUGAGGAACUACGUCGCCCAUAGCACCAUUUCGGAGAGCCCCAGAAACCAUAAUGGGCGGGGAAUAGGGGGCGCAAUUUUUCGGGCUCAAAUUCAGCCGUUUUGACCCUCAAACGGGCUGCGGAAAGUUAUGUCACGUAAAAAAGAUCGAAAGCGGAUUCUCAAGGUGUUUUUGAUGCUUUCUUAACGCCGUUAACCUCGAUGCACUUUUUCGCUCGAAACAAAACGGCAAGAAAAUCAUGCGCGCCCCACGGCCUUACACUUGGAUUGGCCGCGAAAAGGAUAUAUAGAAACGAGAGUGAUGUACUGACGGGUGCGAUCAUACCAGCACUAAUGCACCGGAUCCCAUCAGAACUCCGCAGUUAAGCGUGCUUGGGCGAGAGUAGUACUAGGAUGGGUGACCUCCCGGGAAGUCCUCGUGUUGCACCCCUUUUUAUUUUUUAAUUUUUUUUUGCCUAAAACGAGUCUAAACUUGAAAACCUCAUAACUUUUGAACCGUGAGGAACUACGUCGCCCAUAGCACCAUUUCGGAGAGCCCCAGAAACCAUAAUGGGCGGUGAAUAGGGGGCGCAAUUUUUCGGGCUCAAAUUCAGCCGUUUUGACCCUCAAACGGGCUGCGGAAAGUUAUGGCACGUAAAAAAGAUCGAAAGCGGAUUCUCAAGGUGUUUUUGAUGCUUUCUUAACGCCGUUAACCUCGAUGCACUUUUUCGCUCGAAACAAAACGGCAAGAAAAUCAUGCGCGCCCCACGGCCUUACACUUGGAUUGGCCGCGAAAAGGAUAUAUAGAAACGAGAGUGAUGUACUGACGGGUGCGAUCAUACCAGCACUAAUGCACCGGAUCCCAUCAGAACUCCGCAGUUAAGCGUGCUUGGGCGAGAGUAGUACUAGGAUGGGUGACCUCCCGGGAAGUCCUCGUGUUGCACCCCUUUUUUUUUUUAAUUUUUUUUUAGCCUAAAACGAGUCUAAACUUGAAAACCUCAUAACUUUUGAACCGUGAGGAACUACGUCGCCCAUAGCACCAUUUCGGAGAGCCCCAGAAACCAUAAUGGGCGGUGAAUAGGGGGCGCAAUUUUUCGGGCUCAAAUUCAGCCGUUUUGACCCUCAAACGGGCUGCGGAAAGUUAUGGCACGUAAAAAAGAUCGAAAGCGGAUUCUCAAGGUGUUUUUGAUGCUUUCUUAACGCCGUUAACCUCGAUGCACUUUUUCGCUCGAAACAAAACGGCAAGAAAAUCAUGCGCGCCCCACGGCCUUACACUUGGAUUGGCCGCGAAAAGGAUAUAUAGAAACGAGAGUGAUGUACUGACGGGUGCGAUCAUACCAGCACUAAUGCACCGGAUCCCAUCAGAACUCCGCAGUUAAGCGUGCUUGGGCGAGAGUAGUACUAGGAUGGGUGACCUCCCGGGAAGUCCUCGUGUUGCACCCCUUUUUAUUUUUUAAUUUUUUUUUAGCCUAAAACGAGUCUAAACUUGAAAACCUCAUAACUUUUGAACCGUGAGGAACUACGUCGCCCAUAGCACCAUUUCGGAAGCCCAGAAACCAUAAUGGGCGGUGAAUAGGGGGCGCAAUUUUUCGGGCUCAAAUUCAGCCGUUUUGACCCUCAAACGGGCUGCGGAAAGUUAUGGCACGUAAAAAAGAUCGAAAGCGGAUUCUCAAGGUGUUUUUGAUGCUUUCUUAACGCCGUUAACCUCGAUGCACUUUUUCGCUCGAAACAAAACGGCAAGAAAAUCAUGCGCGCCCCACGGCCUUACACUUGGAUUGGCCGCGAAAAGGAUAUAUAGAAACGAGAGUGAUGUACUGACGGGUGCGAUCAUACCAGCACUAAUGCACCGGAUCCCAUCAGAACUCCGCAGUUAAGCGUGCUUGGGCGAGAGUAGUACUAGGAUGGGUGACCUCCCGGGAAGUCCUCGUGUUGCACCCCUUUUUAUUUUUUAAUUUUUUUUUAGCCUAAAACGAGUCUAAACUUGAAAACCUCAUAACUUUUGAACCGUGAGGAACUACGUCGCCCAUAGCACCAUUUCGGAAGCCCCAGAAACCAUAAUGGGCGGUGAAUAGGGGGCGCAAUUUUUCGGGCUCAAAUUCAGCCGUUUUGACCCUCAAACGGGCUGCGGAAAGUUAUGGCACGUAAAAAAGAUCGAAAGCGGAUUCUCAAGGUUGUUUUGAUGCUUUCUUAACGCCGUUAACCUCGAUGCACUUUUUCGCUCGAAACAAAACGGCAAGAAAAUCAUGCGCGCCCCACGGCCUUACACUUGGAUUGGCCGCGAAAAGGAUAUAUAGAAACGAGAGUGAUGUACUGACGGGUGCGAUCAUACCAGCACUAAUGCACCGGAUCCCAUCAGAACUCCGCAGUUAAGCGUGCUUGGGCGAGAGUAGUACUAGGAUGGGUGACCUCCCGGGAAGUCCUCGUGUUGCACCCCUUUUUAUUUUUUAAUUUUUUUUUAGCCUAAAACGAGUCUAAACUUGAAAACCUCAUAACUUUUGAACCGUGAGGAACUACGUCGCCCAUAGCACCAUUUCGGAAGCCCCAGAAACCAUAAUGGGCGGUGAAUAGGGGGCGCAAUUUUUCGGGCUCAAAUUCAGCCGUUUUGACCCUCAAACGGGCUGCGGAAAGUUAUGGCACGUAAAAAAGAUCGAAAGCGGAUUCUCAAGGUGUUUUUGAUGCUUUCUUAACGCCGUUAACCUCGAUGCACUUUUUCGCUCGAAACAAAACGGCAAGAAAAUCAUGCGCGCCCCACGGCCUUACACUUGGAUUGGCCGCGAAAAGGAUAUAUAGAAACGAGAGUGAUGUACUGACGGGUGCGAUCAUACCAGCACUAAUGCACCGGAUCCCAUCAGAACUCCGCAGUUAAGCGUGCUUGGGCGAGAGUAGUACUAGGAUGGGUGACCUCCCGGGAAGUCCUCGUGUUGCACACCUUUUUAUUUUAUAAUUUUUUUUAGCCUAAAACGAGUCUAAACAUGAAAACCUCAUAAAUUUUGAACCGUGAGGAACUACGUCGCCCAUAGCACCAUUGAAAAAGCCCCAGAAACCAUAAUGGGCGGUGAAUAGGGGGCGCAAUGUUUCGGGCUGAAAUUCAGCCGUUUUGACCCUCAAACGGGCUGCGGAAAGUUAUGGCACGUAAAAAAGAUCGAAAGCGGAUUCUCAAGGUGUUUUUGAUGCUUUCUUAACGCCGUUAACCUCGAUGCACUUUUUCGCUCGAAACAAAACGGCAAGAAAAUCAUGCGCGCCCCACGGCCUUACACUUGGAUUGGCCGCGAAAAGGAUAUAUAGAAACGAGAGUGAUGUACUGACGGGUGCGAUCAUACCAGCACUAAUGCACCGGAUCCCAUCAGAACUCCGCAGUUAAGCGUGCUUGGGCGAGAGUAGUACUAGGAUGGGUGACCUCCCGGGAAGUCCUCGUGUUGCACCCCUUUUUAUUUUUUAAUUUUUUUUUAGCCUAAAACGAGUCUAAACUUGAAAACCUCAUAACUUUUGAACCUUGAGGAACUACGUCGCCCAUAGCACCAUUUCGGAAAGCCCCAUAAAACCAUAAUGGGCGGUGAAUAGGGGGCGCAAUUUUUCGGGCUCAAAUUCAGCCGUUUUGACCCUCAAACGGGCUGCGGAAAGUUAUGGCACGUAAAAAAGAUCGAAAGCGGAUUUUCAAGGUGUUUUUGAUGCUUUCUUAACGCCGUUAACCUCGAUGCACUUUUUCGCUCGAAACAAAACGGCAAGAAAAUCAUGCGCGCCCCACGGCCUUACACUUGGAUUGGCCGCGAAAAGGAUAUAUAGAAACGAGAGUGAUGUACUGACGGGUGCGAUCAUACCAGCACUAAUGCACCGGAUCCCAUCAGAACUCCGCAGUUAAGCGUGCUUGGGCGAGAGAGUAGUACUAGGAUGGGUGACCUCCCGGGAAGUCCUCGUGUUGCACCCCUUUUUAUUUUUUAAUUUUUUUUUAGCCUAAAACGAGUCUAAACUUGAAAACCUCAUAACUUUUGAACCGUGAGGAACUACGUCGCCCAUAGCACCAUUUCGGAGAGCCCCAGAAACCAUAAUGGGCGGUGAAUAGGGGGCGCAAUUUUUCGGGCUCAAAUUCAGCCGUUUUGACCCUCAAACGGGCUGCGGAAAGUUAUGGCACGUAAAAAAGAUCGAAAGCGGAUUCUCAAGGUGUUUUUGAUGCUUUCUUAACGCCGUUAACCUCGAUGCACUUUUUCGCUCGAAACAAAACGGCAAAAAAAAUCAUGUGGGCCCCACGGCCUUACACUUGGAUUGGCCGCGAAAAGGAUAUAUAGAAACGAGAGUGAUGUACUGACGGGUGCGAUCAUACCAGCACUAAUGCACCGGAUCCCAUCAGAACUCCGCAGUUAAGCGUGCUUGGGCGAGAGUAGUACUAGGAUGGGUGACCUCCCGGGAAGUCCUCGUGUUGCACCCCUUUUUAUUUUUUAAUUUUUUUUUUUGCCUAAAACGAGUCUAAACUUGAAAACCUCAUAACUUUUGAACCGUGAGGAACUACGUCGCCCAUAGCACCAUUUCGGAAAGCCCCAGAAACCAUAAUGGGCGGUGAAUAGGGGGCGCAAUUUUUCGGGCUCAAAUUCAGCCGUUUUGACCCUCAAACGGGCUGCGGAAAGUUAUGGCACGUAAAAAAGAUCGAAAGCGGAUUCUCAAGGUGUUUUGAUGCUUUCUUAACGCCGUUAACCUCGAUGCACUUUUUCGCUCGAAACAAAACGGCAAGAAAAUCAUGCGCGCCCCACGGCCUUACACUUGGAUUGGCCGCGAAAAGGAUAUAUAGAAACGAGAGUGAUGUACUGACGGGUGCGAUCAUACCAGCACUAAUGCACCGGAUCCCAUCAGAACUCCGCAGUUAAGCGUGCUUGGGCGAGAGUAGUACUAGGAUGGGUGACCUCCCGGGAAGUCCUUGUGUUGCACCCCUUUUAAUUUUUUAAUUUUUUUUUAGCCUAAAACGAGUCUAAACUUGAAAACCUCAUAACUUUUGAACCGUGAGGAACUACGUCGCCCAUAGCACCAUUUCGGAGAGCCCCAGAAACCAUAAUGGGCGGUGAAUAGGGGCGCAAUUUUUCGGGCUCAAAUUCAGCCGUUUUGACCCUCAAACGGGCUGCGGAAAGUUAUGGCACGUAAAAAAGAUCGAAAGCGGAUUCUCAAGGUGCUUUUGAUGCUUUCUUAACGCCGUUAACCUCGAUGCACUUUUUCGCUCGAAACAAAACGGCAAGAAAAUCAUGCGCGCCCCACGGCCUUACACUUGGAUUGGCCGCGAAAAGGAUAUAUAGAAACGAGAGUGAUGUACUGACGGGUGCGAUCAUACCAGCACUAAUGCACCGGAUCCCAUCAGAACUCCGCAGUUAAGCGUGCUUGGGCGAGAGUAGUACUAGGAUGGGUGACCUCCCGGGAAGUCCUCGUGUUGCACCCCUUUUAUUUUUUAAUUUUUUUUUGCCUAAAACGAGUCUAAACUUGAAAACCUCAUAACUUUUGAACCGUGAGGAACUACGUCGCCCAUAGCACCAUUUCGGAGAGCCCCAGAAACCAUAAUGGGCGGUGAAUAGGGGGCGCAAUUUUUCGGGCUCAAAUUCAGCCGUUUUGACCCUCAAACGGGCUGCGGGGAAAGUUAUGGCACGUAAAAAAGAUCGAAAGCGGAUUCUCAAGGUGCUUUUGAUGCUUUCUUAACGCCGUUAACCUCGAUGCACUUUUUCGCUCGAAACAAAACGGCAAGAAAAUCAUGCGCGCCCCACGGCCUUACACUUGGAUUGGCCGCGAAAAGGAUAUAUAGAAACGAGAGUGAUGUACUGACGGGUGCGAUCAUACCAGCACUAAUGCACCGGAUCCCAUCAGAACUCCGCAGUAAGCGUGCUUGGGCGAGAGUAGUACUAGGAUGGGUGACCUCCCGGGAAGUCCUCGUGUUGCACCCCUUUUUAUUUUUUAAUUUUUUUUUAGCCUAAAACGAGUCUAAACUUGAAAACCUCAUAACUUUUGAACCGUGAGGAACUACGUCGCCCAUAGCACCAUUUCGGAAAGCCCCAGAAACCAUAAUGGGCGGUGAAUAGGGGGCGCAAUUUUUCGGGCUCAAAUUCAGCCGUUUUGACCCUCAGACGGGCUGCGGAAAGUUAUGGCACGUAAAAAAGAUCGAAAGCGGAUUCUCAAGUGUUUUGUGUGCUUUCUUAACGCCGUUAACCUCGAUGCACUUUUUCGCUCGAAACAAAACGGCAAGAAAAUCAUGCGCGCCCCACGGCCUUACACUUGGAUUGGCCGCGAAAAGGAUAUAUAGAAACGAGAGUGAUGUACUGACGGGUGCGAUCAUACCAGCACUAAUGCACCGGAUCCCAUCAGAACUCCGCAGUUAAGCGUGCUUGGGCGAGAGUAGUACUAGGAUGGGUGACCUCCCGGGAAGUCCUCGUGUUGCACCCCUUUUUUUUUUUAAUUUUUUUUUAGCCUAAAACGAGUCUAAACUUGAAAACCUCAUAACUUUUGAACCGUGAGGAACUACGUCGCCCAUAGCACCAUUUCGGAAAGCCCCAGAAACCAUAAUGGGCGGUGAAUAGGGGGCGCAAUUUUUCGGGCUCAAAUUCAGCCGUUUUGACCCUCAAACGGGCUGCGGAAAGUUAUGGCACGUAAAAAAGAUCGAACUAUGGAUUCUGAAGGUGUUUUUGAUGCUUUCUUAACGCCGUUAACCUCGAUGCACUUUUUCGCUCGAAACAAAACGGCAAGAAAAUCAUGCGCGCCCCACGGCCUUACACUUGGAUUGGCCGCGAAAAGGAUAUAUAGAAACAAGAGUGAUGUACUGUCGGGUGCGAUCAUACCAGCACUAAUGCACCGGAUCCCAUCAGAACUCCGCAGUUAAGCGUGCUUGGGCGAGAGUAGUACUAGGAUGGGUGACCUCCCGGGAAGUCCUCGUGUUGCACCCCUUUUUUUUUUUAAUUUUUUUUUGCCUAAAACGAGUCUAAACUGAAAACCCAUAACUUUUGAACCGUGAGGAACUACGUCGCCCAUAGCACCAUUUCGGAAGAGCCCCAGAAACCAUAAUGGGCGGUGAAUAGGGGGCGCAAUUUUUCGGGCUCAAAUUCAGCCGUUUUGACCCUCAAACGGGCUGCGGAAAGUUAUGGCACGUAAAAAAGAUCGAAAGCGGAUUCUCAAGGUGUUUUUGAUGCUUUCUUAACGCCGUUAACCUCGAUGCACUUUUUUUCGCUCGAAACAAAACGGCAAGAAAAUCAUGCGCGCCCCACGGCCUUACACUUGGAUUGGCCGCGAAAAGGAUAUAUAGAAACGAGAGUGAUGUACUGACGGGUGCGAUCAUACCAGCACUAAUGCACCGGAUCCCAUCAGAACUCCGCAGUCAAGCGUGCUUGGGCGAGAGUAGUACUAGGAUGGGUGACCUCCCGGGAAGUCCUCGUGUUGCACCCCUUUUUAUUUUUUUAAUUUUUUUUUAGCCUAAAACGAGUCUAAACUUGAAAACCUCAUAACUUUUGAACCGUGAGGAACUACGUCGCCCAUAGCACCAUUUCGGAGAGCCCCAGAAACCAUAAUGGGCGGUGAAUAGGGGGCGCAAUUUUUCGGGCUCAAAUUCAGCCGUUUUGACCCUCAAACGGGCUGCGGAAAGUUAUGGCACGUAAAAAAGAUCGAAAGCGGAUUCUCAAGUGUUUUUGAUGCUUUCUUAACGCCGUUAACCUCGAUGCACUUUUUCGCUCGAAACAAAACGGCAAGAAAAUCAUGCGCGCCCCACGGCCUUACACUUGGAUUGGCGCGAAAAGGAUAUAUAGAAACGAGAGUGAUGUACUGACGGGUGCGAUCAUACCAGCACUAAUGCACCGGAUCCCAUCAGAACUCCGCAGUUAAGCGUGCUUGGGCGAGAGUAGUACUAGGAUGGGUGACCUCCCGGGAAGUCCUCGUGUGUUGCACCCCUUUUUAUUUUUAAUUUUUUUUAGCCUAAAACGAGUCUAAACUUGAAAACCUCAUAACUUUUGAACCGUGAGGAACUACGUCGCCCAUAGCACCAUUUCGGAAAGCCCCAGAAACCAUAAUGGGCGGUGAAUAGGGGGCGCAAUUUUUCGGGCUCAAAUUCAGCCGUUUUGACCCUCAAACGGGCUGCGGAAAGUUAUGGCACGUAAAAAAGAUCGAAAGCGGAUUCUCAAGGUGUUUUUGAUGCUUUCUUAACGCCGUUAACCUCGAUGCACUUUUUCGCUCGAAACAAAACGGCAAGAAAAUCAUGCGCGCCCACGGCCUUACACUUGGAUUGGCCGCGAAAAGGAUAUAUAGAAAGAAACGAGUGAUGUACUGACGGGUGCGAUCAUACCAGCACUAAUGCACCGGAUCCCAUCAGAACUCCGCAGUUAAGCGUGCUUGGGCGAGAGUAGUACUAGGAUGGGUGACCUCCCGGGAAGUCCUCGUGUUGCACCCCUUUUUAUUUUUUAAUUUUUUUUUAGCCUAAACGAGUCUAAACUUGAAAACCUCAUAACUUUUGAACCGUGAGGAACUACGUCGCCCAUAGCACCAUUUCGGAAAGCCCCAGAAACCAUAAUGGGCGGGUGAAUAGGGGGCGCAAUUUUUCGGGCUCAAAUUCAGCCGUUUUGACCCUCAAACGGGCUGCGGAAAGUUAUGGCACGUAAAAAAGAUCGAAAGCGGAUUCUCAAGGUGUUUUGAUGCUUUCUUAACGCCGUUAACCUCGAUGCACUUUUUCGCUCGAAACAAACGGCAAGAAAAUCAUGCGCGCCCCACGGCCUUACACUUGGAUUGGCCGCGAAAAGGAUAUAUAGAAACGAGAGUGAUGUACUGACGGGUGCGAUCAUACCAGCACUAAUGCACCGGAUCCAUCAGAACUCCGCAGUUAAGCGUGCUUGGGCGAGAGUAGUACUAGGAUGGGUGACCUCCCGGGAAGUCCUCGUGUUGCACCCCUUUUUAUUUUUUAAUUUUUUUUUAGCCUAAAACGAGUCUAAACUUGAAAACCCCAUAACUUUUGAACCGUGAGGAACUACGUCGCCCAUAGCACCAUUUCGGAAAGCCCCAGAAACCAUAAUGGGCGGUGAAUAGGGGGCGCAAUUUUUCGGGCUCAAAUUCAGCCGUUUUGACCCUCAAACGGGCUGCGGAAAGUUAUGGCAGAAAAAAAAAGACCGAAAGCGGAUUUUCAAGGUGUUUUUGAUGCUUUCUUAACGCCGUUAACCUCGAUGCACUUUUUCGCUCGAAACAAAACGGCAAGAAAAUCAUGCGCGCCCCACGGCCUUACACUUGGAUUGGCCGCGAAAAGGAUAUAUAGAAACGAGAGUGAUGUACUGUCGGGUGCGAUCAUACCAGCACUAAUGCACCGGAUCCCAUCAGAACUCCGCAGUUAAGCGUGCUUGGGCGAGAGUAGUACUAGGAUGGGUGACCUCCCGGGAAGUCCUCGUGUUGCACCCCUUUUUAUUUUUUAAUUUUUUUAGCCUAAAACGAGUCUAAACUUGAAAACCUCAUAACUUUUGAACCGUGAGGAACUACGUCGCCCAUAGCACCAUUUCGGAAAGCCCCAGAAACCAUAAUGGGCGGUGAAUAGGGGGCGCAAUUUUCGGGCUCAAAUUCAGCCGUUUUGACCCUCAAACGGGCUGCGGAAAGUUAUGGCACGUAAAAAAGAUCGAAAGCGGAUUCUCAAGGUGUUUUUAAUGCUUUCUUAACGCCGUUAACCUCGAUGCACUUUUUCGCUCGAAACAAAACGGCAAGAAAUCAUGCGCGCCCCACGGCCUUACACUUGGAUUGGCCGCGAAAAGGAUAUAUAGAAACGAGAGUGAUGUACUGACGGGUGCGAUCAUACCAGCACUAAUGCACCGGAUCCCAUCAGAACUCCGCAGUUAAGCGUGCUUGGGCGAGAGUAGUAGUACUAGGAUGGGUGACCUCCCGGGAAGUCCUCGUGUUGCACCCCUUUUAUUUUUUAAUUUUUUUUUGCCUAAAACGAGUCUAAACUUGAAAAACCUCAUAACUUUUGAACCGUGAGGAACUACGUCGCCCAUAGCACCAUUUCGGAAAGCCCCAGAAACCAUAAUGGGCGGUGAGGUGAAUAGGGGGCGCAAUUUUUCGGGCUCAAAUUCAGCCGUUUGACCCUCAAACGGGCUGCGGGCGGAAAGUUAUGGCACGUAAAAAAGAUCGAAAGCGGAUUCUCAAGGUGUUUUUGAUGCUUUCUAACGCCGUUAACCUCGAUGCACUUUUUCGCUCGAAACAAAACGGCAAGAAAAUCAUGCGGCCCCACGGCCUUACACUUGGAUUGGCCGCGAAAAGGAUAUAUAGAAACGAGAGUGAUGUACUGACGGGUGCGAUCAUACCAGCACUAAUGCACGGAUCCCAUCAGAACUCCGCAGUUAAGCGUGCUUGGGCGAGAGUAGUACUAGGAUGGGGACCUCCCGGGAAGUCCUCGUGUUGCACCCCUUUUUAUUUUUUAAUUUUUUUUUAGCCUAAAACGAGUCUAAACUUGAAAACCUCAUAACUUUUGAACCGUGAGGAACUACGUCGCCCAUAGCACCAUUUCGGAAAGCCCCAGAAACCAUAAUGGCGGGUGAUGAAGGGGCGCAAUUUUCGGGCUCAAAUUCAGCCGUUUUGACCCUCAAACGGGCUGCGGAAAGUUAUGGCACGUAAAAAAGAUCGAAAGCGGAUUCUCAAGGUGUUUUUGAUGCUUUCUUAACGCCGUUAACCUCGAUGCACUUUUUCGCUCGAAACAAAACGGCAAGAAAAUCAUGCGCGCCCCCACGGCCUUACACUUGGAUUGGCCGCGCGAAAAGGAUAUAUAGAAACGAGAGUGAUGUACUGUCGGGUGCGAUCAUACCAGCACUAAUGCACCGGAUCCCAUCAGAACUCCGCAGUUAAGCGUGCUUGGGCGAGAGUAGUACUAGGAUGGGUGACCUCCCGGGAAGUCCUCGUGUUGCACCCCUUUUUAUUUUUUAAUUUUUUUUAGCCUAAAACGAGUAUAAACUUGAAAACCUGAAACUUUUGAACCGUGAGGAACUACGUCGCCCAUAGCACCAUUUCGGAGAGCCCCAGAAACCAUAAUGGGCGGUGAAUAGGGGGCGCAAUUUUUCGGGCUCAAAUUCAGCCGUUUUGACCCUCAAACGGGCUGCGGAAAGUUAUGGCACGUAAAAAAGAUCGAAAGCGGAUUCUCAAGGUGUUUUUGAUGCUUUCUUAACGCCGUUAACCUCGAUGCACUUUUUCGCUCGAAACAAAACGGCAAAAAAAAUCAUGUGGGCCCCACGGCCUUACACUUGGAUUGGCCGGGGAAAGGAUAUAUAGAAACGAGAGUGAUGUACUGACGGGUGCGAUCAUACCAGCACUAAUGCACCGGAUCCCAUCAGAACUCCGCAGUGAAGCGUGCUUGGGCGAGAGUAGUAUUAGGAUGGGUGACCUCCCGGGAAGUCCUCGUGUUGCACCCCUUUUUAUUUUAUAAUUUUUUUUUAGCCUAAAACGAGUCUAAACUUGAAAACCUCAUAACUUUUGAACCGUGAGGAACUACGUCGCCCAUAGCACCAUUUCGGAAAGCCCCAGAAACCAUAAUGGUGGUGCGGUGAAUAGGGGGCAAUCGCAAUUUUUCGGGCUCAAAUUCAGCCGUUUUGACCCUCAAACGGGCUGCGGAAAGUUAUGGCACGUAAAAAAGAUCGAAAGCGGAUUCUCAAGGUGUUUUUGAUGCUUUCUUAACGCCGUUAACCUCGAUGCACUUUUUCGCUCGAAACAAAACGGCAAGAAAAUCAUGCGCGCCCCCACGGCCUUACACUUGGAUUGGCCGCGAAAAGGAUAUAUAGAAACGAGAGUGAUGUACUGACGGGUGCGAUCAUACCAGCACUAAUGCACCGGAUCCCAUCAGAACUCAGCAGUUAAGCGUGCUUGGGCGAGAGUAGUACUAGGAUGGGUGACCUCCCGGGAAGUCCUGUGUGCACCCCUUUUAUUUUUUAAUUUUUUUUUAGCCUAAAACGAGUCUAAACUUGAAAACCUCAUAACUUUUGAACCGUGAGGAACUACGUCGCCCAUAGCACCAUUUCGGAAAGCCCCAGAAACCAUAAUGGGGUGAAUAGGGGGCGCAAUUUUCGGGCUCAAAUUCAGCCGUUUUGACCCUCAAACGGGCUGCGGAAAGUUAUGGCACGUAAAAAGAUCGAAAGCGGAUUCUCAAGGUGUUUUUGAUGCUUUCUUAACGCCGUUAACCUCGAUGCACUUUUCGCUCGAAACAAAACGGCAAGAAAAAUCAUGCGCGCCCCACGGCCUUACACUUGGAUUGGCCGCGAAAAGGAUAUAUAGAAACGAGAGUGAUGUACUGACGGGUGCGAUCAUACCAGCACUAAUGCACGGAUCCCAUCAGAACUCCGCAGUGAAAGCGUGCUUGGGCGAGAGUAGUACUAGGAUGGGUGACCUCCCGGGAAGUCCUCGUGUUGCACCCCUUUUUAUUUUUAAAUUUUUUUUUAGCCUAAAACGAGUCUAAACUUGAAAACCUCAUAACUUUUGAACCGUGAGGAACUACGUCGCCCAUAGCACCAUUUCCGGAGAGCCCCAGAAACCAUAAUGGGCGGUGAAUAGGGGGCGCAAUUUUUCGGGCUCAAAUUCAGCCGUUUUGACCCUCAAACGGGCUGCGGAAAGUUAUGGCACGUAAAAAAGAUCGAAAGCGGAUUCUCAAGGUGUUUUGAUGCUUUCUUAACGCCGUUAACCUCGAUGCACUUUUUCGCUUCGAAACAAAACGGCAAGAAAAUCAUGCGCGCCCCACGGCCUUACACUUGGAUUGGCCGCGAAAAGGAUAUAUAGAAACGAGAGUGAUGUACUGACGGGUGCGAUCAUAUACCAGCACUAAUGCACCGGAUCCCAUCAGAACUCCGCAGUUAAGCGUGCUUGGGCGAGAGUAGUACUAGGAUGGGUGACCUCCCGGGAAGUCCUCGUGUUGCACCCCUUUUAUUUUUUAAUUUUUUUUUGCCUAAAACGAGUCUAAACUUGAAAACCUCAUAACUUUUGAACCGUGAGGAACUACGUCGCCCAUAGCACCAUUUCGGAGAAGCCCCAGAAACCAUAAUGGGCGGUGAAUAGGGGGCGCAAUUUUUCGGGCUCAAUUCAGCCGUUUUGACCCUCAAACGGGCUGCGGAAAGUUAUGGCACGUAAAAAAAGAUCGAAAGCGGAUUCUCAAGGUGUUUUUGAUGCUUUCUUAACGCCGUAACCUCGAUGCACUUUUUCGCUCGAACAAAACGGCAAGAAAAUCAUGCGCGCCCCACGGCCUUACACUUGGAUUGGCCGCGAAAAGGAUAUAUAGAAACGAGAGUGAUGUACUGACGGGUGCGAUCAUACCAGCACUAAUGUACCGGAUCCCAUCAGAACUCCGCAGUUAAGCGCGCUUGGGCGAGAGUAGUAUUAGGAUGGGUGACCUCCCGGGAAGUCUUCGUGUUGCACCCCUUUUUAUUUUAUAAUUUUUUUAGCCUAAAACGAGUCUAAACUUGAAAACCUCAUAAAUUUUGAACCGUGAGGAACUACGUCGCCCAUAGCACCAUUUCGGAAAGUCCCAGAAACCAUAAUGGGCGGUGAAUAGGGGGCGCAAUUUUUCGGGCUGAAAUUCAGCCGUUUUGACCCUCAAACGGGCUGCGGAAAGUUAUGGCACGUAAAAAGAUCGAAAGCGGAUUCUCAAUGGUUUUUGAUGCUUUCUUAACGCCGUUAACCUCGAUGCACUUUUUCGCUCGAAACAAAACGGCAAGAAAAUCAUGCGCCCCCACGGCCUUACACUUGGAUUGGCCGCGAAAAGGAUAUAUAGAAACGAGAGUGAUGUACUGACGGGUGCGAUCAUACCAGCACUAAUGCACCGGAUCCCAUCAGAACUCCGCAGUUAAGCGUGCUUGGGCGAGAGUAGUACUAGGAUGGGUGACCUCCCGGGAAGUCCUCGUGUUGCACCCCUUUUUAUUUUUUAAUUUUUUUUUGCCUAAAACGAGUCUAAAACUUGAAAACCUCAUAACUUUUGAACCGUGAGGAACUACGUCGCCCAUAAGCACCAUUUCGGAAAGCCCCAGAAACCAUAAUGGCGGGAAUGCGGUGAAUAGGGGGCGCAAUUUUUCGGGCUCAAAUUCAGCCGUUUUGACCCUCAGACGGGCUGCGGAAAGUUAUGGCACGUAAAAAAGAUCGAAAGCGGAUUCUCAAGGUGUUUUUGAUGCUUUCUUAACGCCGUUAACCUCGAUGCACUUUUUUGCUCGAAACAAAACGGCAAGAAAAUCAUGCGCGCCCCACGGCCUUACACUUGGAUUGGCUGCGAAAAGGAUAUAUAGAAACGAGAGUGAUGUACUGUCGGCUGCGAUCAUACCAGCACUAAUGCACCGGAUCCCAUCAGAACUCCGCAGUGAAGCGUGCUUGGGCGAGAGUAGUACUAGGAUGGGUGACCUCCCGGGAAGUCCUCGUGUUGCACCCCUUUUUAUUUUUUAAUUUUUUUUUAGCCUAAAACGAGUCUAAACUUGAAAACCC